rnacentral:rRNA from 1 species
GAUGAACGCUGACAGAAUGCUUAACACAUGCAGUCACUGAUUGUGGCGGACGGAUGAGUAACGCGUAAAGAACUUGCCUCCCAGGUAGGGACGACAUUUGGAAACGAAUGCUAAUACCUACUACUGUGAGAGAGCUUUGCGUCGCAUUAGCUAGUUGGGGAGGUAACGGCUAACCAAGGCGAGGAUGGGUAGCCGGCCUGAGAUGGUGGUCGGCCACAAGGGGACUGAGACACAGCCCUGACUCCUACGGGAGGCAGCAGUGGGGAAGAUUGGACAAGGGACCAAAGUCUGAUCGAGCAAUUAUGUGUGCACGAUGAAGUUUUCGGAAGCUAAAGUGCUUGCAGUUGGUAAGCGGUACCAACAGAAGAAGUGACGGCUAAAUACGUGCCAGCAGCCGCGGUAAUUC